UACGUAGGGUGCAGGCGUUAAUCGGAAUUACUGGGCGUAAAGCGUGCGCAGGCGGUUUGCUAAGACAGGUGUGAAAUCCCCCGGGCUUAACCUGGGAACUGCGCUUGUUACUGGCAGGCUUGAGUGUGGCAGAGGGGGGGUGGAAUUCCACGUGUAGCAGUGAAAUGCGUAGAGAUGUGGAGGAACACCGAUGGCGAAGGCAGCCCCCUGGGCUAACACUGACGCCUCAUGCACGAAAGCGUGGGGAGCAAACAGG
rnacentral:rRNA from 1 species